ACAGCAGCAGCCGCGGGAAUACGGAGGGUGCAAGCGUUAUCCGGAUUCACUGGGUUUAAAGGGUGCGUAAGCGGAUCUGUAAGUCAGUGGUGAAAUCUCCAGGCUUAACCUGGAAACUGCCGUUGAUACUAUAGGUCUUGAAUUUUGUGGAGGUUAGCGGAAUAUGUCAUGUAGCGGUGAAAUGCAUAGAUAUGACAUAGAACACCAAUUGCGAAGGCAGCUGGCUACACAACUAUUGACGCUGAGGCACGAAAGCGUGGGGAUCAAACAGGAUUAGAUACCCCCGUAGUCCCUGUCUCUUAUAC
rnacentral:rRNA from 1 species